GUAAGACUGCGAUUUUUUUUCAGACAAAAAUUGGUGAGUACUAUAAAAAAAUGGGUCUCUAAUUGGCUUUGGGUAGAAGCUGUCGUCAACUGGGUAAUGAAGUUUCACCAUAGAAGAAAUAUAUCCAAGGUAAGAUCUCGGUGAAGUUUCCUUUUAGUUUUUAUCCUUCUGUUUAUUUUUGCCUUUCCAAUCAAAAGUGGAUACCUCGUGGGGACGAUUCUGAUCGCCAUUUUGGAUGGACGACUAAUCAAACGAUCAGCGUGGAUCUAUCAUGACGGGAGGAUCGUCGACGCUGAAAUAUACGGUGAUUUGAUUGGACGGCAAACUAGAAGAAUCAUUGUUCAUUAGCCAUAUGGGUUCGCAUUGUGAACUUAUAUCAGGAAAUUGUGUUUUUGGGGUUGAUAAUUCUUCUCAGUGGUAGUUCCUCUUAAGAAUCAUCAAAUUGGGACAUCACUGCUAAUUGCCGACUUUAGGGAAUACUGCGCCUCCCAUCGGAUUCUUGAUUUCUGACUAGUGACUGGGGAUUGAUGUGUUAAUGGAAUUAGAAUUUUGGAGCUUGGGAAUUUCAUUGAUCCAACUAUAUGGGAAUACCACAUGUGAGUGCAUUGUCGAAGAUUGCAGAUUUUUCCUUCAAGCUUGCGAAACCACAUCUUGGAAGCACGCAAUCUCAAAUAAUUAAAUGAUCGGUGGUACUUCGGUUCAUCGUUCAGAUGUCUACAGUUUGUGCAAUAUUGGAGAACAGAGACGUGAUUAUUGACAUUUAAUUGGUUUGCUCUUGUUUGAUGCUACAUCUAUUAUUCAAUUGCAGUUUGCAGAACUCCAGCUUUACAAUUGCAUUAUAUGACUGUGGGUUUCGUGCAUAAAUUCAUCUACUCUCUAUGACCUUUCUAUGUACUGUUAUAACGGAUUCAUGGGAGGGAAGGGUUGAGAAUCUAAUUAAAGGGUGGCUGUUGGCCUGUUAUGGCAUACUUACUGCGCAACCAAUAGAGCACAUACUUCCUACUGUCUUGCGCUCCUCUCUUUUGGCAGAAUCACUCACAUUGCAUCUGAAUCAGCAUACCCUCAGUCUGAGUAACGCUGCUGUUUCUGUAAUGACGUGAGAGUCAAAGAAGGCAGUGGAACUCAUGGACAGACAGACAAGCAAUUGGAAUUCAGUGAAAUAACAGGAAUUGAGAAAAUGAGAGUUCAGUUCUGCUCAAAAUCUGAUCCCUCGGCAAUCUGCUGGCAGCUGUGCAGUUCCUCGACUCUGCAACACACGGUGGUAAUCUCUCUCUCUCUCUCUCGCGCGCGCGUGGGAGGAAGGUAUCAAGUCAGAUGAACUUACAUGGUCGCAAAAAGUAUCAAUAGACAUAAAUAUUAAGUUGUAUAGCAUCAUCCCUCAGUUACGCAUAUAGAUGUUUCUGAAUAGGUCUUGUUGAAUAUGAGAAAAUAUUGUCCUCCAAAGAACUGCAUCAUUCAUUUGUGUCGUUCAUCUAAUAUAUGAAAAUGAA